AUGAAGAGCUUUGGCAGAUGCCAGCACUAUGCCCAUUCUCCAAAACAGUCAGAGUCCAAAUGACUGAUUGUACGUAAAUUCGAUGAUGCUGUUGUCCAGUCUGACAUGAAGCAGUGGUGUUUCAUGGUGGUGAAUGAUGCUUGCAGGCCUAAGGUGCAGGUAGAAUAAGGGGAGAUGAAGUCUACCCGGAAGAUGUGUCCUCUGUGAUUCUGACCAAAAUAAAGGAGAAUGGUUCUGUCCAAAAUGAAGGAGAUCGCAGAAGCCUACCUUGGCAAGACUCUUACCAACGCUGUGGUCACAGUGUCCACCUACUUCAAUGACUCUCAGCGUCAGGCCACCAAAGACGCUGGAACCAUUGCUGGUCUAAAUGUUCUUUGGAUCAUCAAUGAGCCAACUGCUGCUGCUAUUGCUUAUGGCCUGGACAAAAAGGUUGAGGCUGAAAAAAAUGUGGUGAUUUUUGACCUGGGAGGUGGCACUUUCGAUGUGUCUAUCCUCACAGUUGAAGAUGGAAUCUUUGAGGUCAAGUCCGCAGCUGGAGACACCCAUUUAGGUGGAGAAGACUUUGACAACCGCAAGGUCAACCAUUUCAUUGCAGAGUUCAAAUGCAAGCAUAAGAAGGACAUCAGUGAGAACAAGAGAGCUGUCAGGUGCCUGUGCACUGCUUGUGAGCGGGCUAAGCGCACCCUCUCUUCCAGCACCCAGGCGAGCAUUGAGAUAGAUUAUUUGUAUGAAGGAAUUGACUUCUGCACCUCCAUUACCCGGGCUUGAUUUGAGGAGUUGAUCUUUUCCGUGGCACCAUGGGCCCUGUUGAGAAGGCUGUUCUGGAUGCCAAGUUAGACAAGUCGUGGAUCCAUGACAUUGUCCUAGUGGGUGGUUCCACCAGCAUUCCCAAGAUCCAGAAGCCGCUUCAGGACUCCUUCAGUGGGAAAGAGCUGAAUAAGAGCAUCAAUCCUGAUGAGACUGUGGCUUAUGGUGUAGCUGUGCAGGCAGCCAUCCUGUCUGGAGACAAGUCUGAGAACAUUCAGGAUCUGUUGCUGUUGGAUGUCACUCCUUUCUCCCUUGGCAUUGAGACUGCUGGUGGAGUCAUGACCAUGCUCAUCAAGCACAACACCACAAUUCCCACCAAGCAGAUGUUGACCUUCACCACCUACUCAGACAAUCAGCCUGGUGUGCUCAUUCAGGUUUAUGAAGGUGAGCAUGCUAUGACCAAGGAUAACAAUCUGCUUGGCAAGUUUGAACUCACCACCAUACCACCUAUACCCCAUGGCGUUCCUCAGAUUGAAGUCACCUUUGAUAUUGAUGCCAGCAGCAUCCUUAACAUCUCUGCUGUGGAAAAGAGCACUGGGAAAGAGAACAAGAUCACCAUCACUAAUGACAAGGGCCAUUUGUGCAAGGAAGAUAUUGAGCAGAUGGUCCAAGAAGCUGAAAAGUGCAAAGCUGAAGAUGAGAAGCAGAGAGACAAGGUGUCUUCCAAGAAUUUACUAGAGUAUUACACAUUCAACAUGAAAGCAGCUGUUGAAGGUGAAAAACUUCAGGCCAGGAUCAAUGGUGAGGACAAGCAUAAGAUUCUUGACAAGUACAAUGAGAUCAUCAAUUGGCUGGAUAAGAACCUGACUGCAGAAAAGGAUGAAUUUGAACUUCAGCAGAAGGAGCUGGAGAAAGUCUACAACCCAAUCAUCACCUACUGUACCGGAGUGCAGGGGGGCAUGCCAGGAGGGAUGCCUGGGGGCUUCCCUGACAGAGGAGCUCCCCCUUCCAGGGUGUUUCCUCAGGGUCCACCACUGAGGAGAUGGAUUAAGCCAGCUUUGGUGUAGAUGCAGCAUUGUUCCACACAAUAAAAGAUGGAAGGACCCAAAUUUGUAGCAAAUUCUGGCAGUUUUAAAGUUUGGCUGCUAAAGUAAAUUACUGGGCAUUC